rnacentral:lncRNA from 1 species
CGUUUCGAACCUAGGUAUCUUCCUCUCCCUGUCAUUUUGUCCUUUACUUUGAUUGCACACUGCAUCAAGUUAAAGCUCCCACCAACUGGAGAAAGAUACCAUGCUACAUCUUAUUUGUGUGCCAAUUGUGGAGCUCUCUUGGGGUUUCUGUAAGCGUUGGUCAUCUGGAAGGGACAGAAAAAUCUAGGCAACUAGGGUCUCUCUCACAUUCCACUUUCUCUAUAAAAAAAAAUCCCAAAAUUGGCUCUCCAGGACUGGAAGUGGAAGUAUGAGGUAUCCUUUUCUUUUUCCGGUAUUUUUUUUUAAAUUUCUUUAUUUCAUGCAUGGUGGAUUUCUCUUUGGUGAUUAUUGAAUUGCUUAUAUAUUUUCUUGGUAUUUAGGGUGAUCUAAUUUUUCUGGCUUUUCAAGAGCAGCGGCAUGAGGUACACUUUUCUUCUUUUUCUUUUUUUUUUUCUCUUUUUUUUUUCUUCUAAUUUUUAUGUAAUGGAUGCAGGUGGAUUCUCUGAGUAUACCUGGGAUAGUGAGAAAUUGGAGCUCAUCUGGGGCCAGAUCCAUUUGGAUUUUGGUGUCUGAUUGGAGGAAAAGAAAAUAAAAUAAAUUUGGGGUUUGUAUUGAUUUGAUGUUUGGUUUUAUUUAAUUUUUAUUCUUGCAUGUUUGCUUUUUCUGAAUUUUCACUGUUUGUUUUGUUAGUUGAAGAUUACGGUGUUUGAUUGAUUUCAAUGGGGUGAGUUGUUAAUUUGUCCUCUAUUUAUUCAUGUCAUUUUAUGAAUGCUUGCAUAAUCUGCAUCUCAUUUCACUAACUCUCUGGGUGUAUUUUUGAUAAAUUGUCACUGUUUUUUUCUGUUAAUUUUUAAGUCUCUGUGUGUGUUGUUUACCCCAGACUUUGGACAUCAACUUGUUCUGUUUUCUUGGUGGUUUGAUGCGUUUUGUGUUGUGUUUUUCGGUCAAUUGACUCAGUUCAUAUGAUUAAUUCCCAUCGUUUCCAUGCCAUAUUGGUUGAAUUUAUUUUAACUAUAUUUAUUUUUGUUGCAGCCAUAUCUCAUAUAAACAACAAGUAGAAGGUUUACAGGACAUUAACCAAUUAGUUGGGCUAUUAGUUCCUUUACUUUGUGAUGUCCCUGGUGUGAGUAAACAAAUGUUCAUGUACUUUAUAGUUAGGAGGAUUUAACGAGGCCUUUUCUAUGUGCUUUACUUUAUUAUGUUUUGAUAAACGGAGGUUCAACAACAGGUUACUGAAAUGAUCACUUAUAUAUAUAGCCUCCACCACAAAGUAAUUUCCUAAGAAAUGUGUAGUACUUUGUCUUCUGGGUUAGUGUUCUCUAAUUUAGAUUAGACAUUAAGGCUUUGAGCUUGGUAAGAUUUCUUUUCUUGAUGUACCUCAAUUUUUUUAUUCAUUGUUUUUCUUUUUGGAGUUUUCGAUUUACAAAUAAAUUCUACAUUUAAAUUCUCUUUUUGUGAUCCUUCAGAUUUUGUCUUUGUAAUCAGAUGGUUGAUAUCGCAAGACUGAUUUCAUUCUUCUUCACUUUCAAGAAGCACCGGUGUUUAUUGAAGGUAUAUAAUCUGUUUAGACAUUUAGUCUUCAAUGUAUCAAGUAUUUUGUGUUGUUAGUUUUAUGUUACUUUUGUUGCUGCCUGCCUUUUUUUUUCUUUCUAUUUUUUUCGUUUUUAUCCACUUCUCUUUCACAUUUGUGCAACCUAUUGUCCUCAGUUUAUAAUCUUUCGUUGGAUAAUCUGAUCGCCCAAUCUAUUCUCAAGCGAUAUCUUUGGUUUUAAACUGUUCUAACCAGUUUAAUCUUUAAAUUGUUCAAUGUUAACCCCAACAUUUUAUUUUCAUUCUAUACGCAUUGGAACCAAACUUAAUUGGCACUAAAAAUGUAUAAAGCCUUUAACUAUACCAUGAAUGCAAUGUUAGCCAGUAAAUAAUUAUAAAAGUAACUUUGUCAUGGGCUAUAAUCAUAUCCAUCAUCAUUCCAUGAUUGUUACCAACCUUUAAAAUCAAAUUUAGCAUCAGUAUGUUUUACCUCUGUUUCAAUCUUAACCAGUAGCGGCUACAAUUUUGUAUUAAUCACUGUUAUCAAUUGUUCUUAACAUAUGAUCAUCAGAUCCCAAUAUGUUGACCAUCGUUCUCCCUACCUUAUCGUAUGUGAAACGAUUAUAUUUACACUCACUUUUAUUCAUUGGAAACAGUAUUUGUGUCUCUCCAUAUCCAAUCCUUGGUGCAAAAUGUUUACAAUUUGACCUGUUUCAGUUUCCUACAGCCAAAUUGGAAUCAAUCUGAAAGAACUGCGCCUAUUCGCCGUCUUCAAG